rnacentral:tRNA from 1 species
GCCUUCGUCGCAUAAUGGUAUUGCACGAGAUUGCUAAUCUCGACCCUUCGGGGUUCCUGGGUUCGAUUCCCAGCGAAGGCG